GACGAACGCUGGCGGCGUGCUUAACACAUGCAAGUCGAACGGUGAAGCCUUCGGGUGGAUCAGUGGCGAACGGGUGAGUAACACGUGAGCAAUCUGCCCUUGACUCUGGGAUAACUUCGGGAAACCGGAGCUAAUACCGGAUAUGACAUCUGGCCGCAUGGUCUGGGUGUGGAAAAGAUUUUAUCGGUCAAGGAUGAGCUCGCGGCCUAUCAG
rnacentral:rRNA from 1 species